CGUUGGCUAAAAGUUUUAAUUAAACUUUGCUGUAUGUGUGAUUAAAUUUUUGUUGCGGAAACAUCGUUUGUUAUUUAACAAGAUUAUAAUGAUGAAAAACAUGAAAUGUGAAAUAACCAACAGAAAACCCCAACAGCAGCAACAACAAAGGCCAUACAGUGAUUUCUUGGAUUUAAUAUAAAACGAAUGAAGUCUCAAUGACGCCUGUUUUGUCCUUUGAAGGACAGUUAAAUAAGAAAUAAAGCUGAACAAAAAAACUACUAGUACAAUUUUUUGUGUAAGGAAAAAAAUAUGUUUUCUUUAAACAAGGUAAUUUACUUUGCUUAAUGAGUUGUAUAAAUAAUAAGAUAU